rnacentral:rRNA from 1 species
CCUACGGGGGGCAGCAGUAGGGAAUAUUGCUCAAUGGGCGAAACCCUGAAGCAGCAACGCCGCGUGGAGGAUGAAGGUUUUCGGAUUGUAAACUCCUUUUGUUAGAGAAGAUAAUGACGGUAUCUAACGAAUAAGCACCGGCUAACUCCGUGCCAGCAGCCGCGGUAAUACGGAGGGUGCAAGCGUUACUCGGAAUCACUGGGCGUAAAGGGCGCGUAGGCGGGUUAGCAAGUCAGAUGUGAAAUCCUAUGGCUUAACCAUAGAACUGCAUUUGAAACUGUUAUUCUAGAGUAUGUGAGAGGUAGGUGGAAUUCUUGGUGUAGGGGUAAAAUCCGUAGAGAUCAAGAGGAAUACUCAUUGCGAAGGCGACCUGCUAGAACAUAACUGACGCUGAUGCGCGAAAGCGUGGGGAGCAAACAGGAUUAGAUACCCGGGUAGUC